rnacentral:rRNA from 1 species
CAGUCGCCGCGGUAAUACGGAGGAUCCAAGCGUUAUCCGGAAUCAUUGGGUUUAAAGGGUCCGUAGGCGGUCUUGUAAGUCAGUGGUGAAAGCCCAUCGCUCAACGGUGGAACGGCCAUUGAUACUGCAGGACUUGAAUUAUUGGGAAGUAACUAGAAUAUGUAGUGUAGCGGUGAAAUGCUUAGAGAUUACAUGGAAUACCAAUUGCGAAGGCAGGUUACUAACAAUUGAUUGACGCUGAUGGACGAAAGCGUGGGUAGCGAACAGGAUUAGAUACCCCUGUAGUCCCUGUCUCUUAUAC